rnacentral:rRNA from 1 species
UCGCCUGCACGAAGUCGGAAUUGCUAGUAAUCGUAGGUCAGCAUACUACGGUGAAUACGUUCCCGGGCCUUGUACACACCGCCCGUCAAACCAUGAGAGUUGGCAACACCCGAAGUCGGUAGUCUAACCGCAAGGAGGACGCCGCCGAAGGUGGGGUUGAUGAUUAGGGUUAAGUCGUAACAAGGUAUC